rnacentral:lncRNA from 1 species
UAAAAUACUUGUAUGUUUAUUAGUCAUAUAUAUACCAUCAGGAUCAAUAUGUGAUUAUGAUCACAUAACUAGUGCUAAUGCAUCAUGCACACCCUAGGUUCUGAACUCACAAAGAUGCGUUCUUUAACUAAACCAACCAAUCUUGCUAAAGAAUAAUAAAAAAAAAAAGAACUAACUAUACAUCAACCUGACGUAAGAUGAGGAAAAAAGAAAAAUAAAUUCUAAUAAAAAUCUAGAUUAUAAGAAAUACAUAUAAAUCUAGAUUAUAUGCUGACUUAUAUGACCUCAGAUUUUUCCCGUACGUUUUUAUUUUGGAUUUUGGUGUUUAAUUAGUGUGUACUUUGUUCCGAAUGAAUCCAUAGUUCCGUAUAUGUUUGGAAAUUUCAAACAAAAAUUCUUCAGCUAAUUAUAAGAUCACGUUUCAUGCGUUUGUGUUUACAUAUUUCAAAUUUCUUUUCAAAAAAUGAAAAGUACUUACACUUUUGUAAAAUGAUUAUCGUUUUCAUAUACGCAUUAUAAUGCAAAAAUAUCUUAAAAUUCGAGACCUACGUCGAUAUAUUUGUUCAACUAUAUAUGUUUGUUAAUUUUUUGGUUUUACAGAAAAUUCAUUAAAGAUCAUAUUUCAUCAAAGUCAUAGUUUCAUAUUUUGUACGCCAAUAUAAUUGUGUGAGUUUAUAAUAAAGUGCUAAAUAUACUGUAGAUAUGGAGAAAGUAUACCAAA